rnacentral:rRNA from 1 species
CAGUUCGGACUGUAGUCUGCAACCCGACUACACGAAGCUGGAAUCGCUAGUAAUCGCGGAUCAGAAUGCCGCGGUGAAUACGUUCCCGGGUCUUGUACACACCGCCCGUCACACCAUGGGAGUCGGUAACGCCCGAAGCCAGUGACCCAACCUUAGGGAGGGAGCUGUCGAAGGCGGGACGGAUAACUGGGGUGAAGUCGUAACAAGGUACC